rnacentral:lncRNA from 1 species
CUAGAGCUACUGUGUGCAUUAUAAAUUCACAAUGUAGCUUUGCCUAGACAGGAACUAGACUGAAUCUUGGUGUUUUCUCUGCAAAAUAAUGCUGAAUACUGAGUUUUCCUGCUAAUCUACAACAGUAUGGAUAUAGACGCAACAUGACAAAUGAGUAGUUUCCAUAUCGACCUCGUUCUUUAUCAUCAUCUUCACCAAUAUACAUCAACGCCACCAUCACCAUGUCUUUGACGUCGACCUCCGUUUUCGCGUUUGAACUUUGAAGAUUGUUCCGAACUCUAAUAAUGAAUUGGAUAUUGGCAUUAUCGACGUUUGUUCUGUCUUUGAACACUAGUCUCGUCGAACUUUGAUUAAAGGUAAGAACCUCCUUUUUACCUUCUUCGAUUUGCGUUUCGUCGUUUGCAGGUCUGAUCCUGACUCCGAUUAAUGAUGACCUAACCUAUCGUUCUGUCUUCAAUCACCCUCGACGUCAAACUCUAUACCGCGUUUCACCAUCGCCGAACACGGACUCCGCAUCCGAUCGACAUCGCCGACUCUUGACUUUCGUUCAUCAUUCAUUUUUGAACUGUACUAUGAUCACCGACAUCAUCUACGAUCUGCCAAGAAGGCCUAGUCACCAAUUGUUUCUUCAAAUUUCGUCUUUCGACUGAAUUCGAGUACGACAUCGUCAACGAAUCUCGCACCUCCGCUGGAAGGACAGUUUUUUAUAAUGUACUAUGUAAUUUGAAUAUGAGCGGCAGUCUUCCGUUAUAGAAAUAGACUAACCACUUUAAGAUAUUGUUGUGUGCUGAAAAUGUUUAGUGUCCUGUAUAAUGAUGUUACAAGCGGCAGUCUUCGCUAUAGAAAUAGACUUCAGUUUUCGACUGUAAAUUGUUUUAUAUAUUUUACGCGAGCUAGAUUUUAGCUUGUUUGAAUAAACGUUUUUUUAAAGUAAA